GUGAAUCAUCGAAUCUUUGAACGCACAUUGCACUCCAUUGGAGUAUGCCUGUUUGAGAAUCUAUAGUAUUUAUUUUUGGGUACCAUUUUUUGGUUCCUAGAAGAGAUGAAGUUUCCCCUUUCAUACGAAGGGGUAUUUCGAAAUAUAUUGCUUGCAGUUCGGUAUGAAAUGUUUGACAUCUCUUAUCAAACCUUAUAGAAAAGUAUUUGAAUGGAACUGUGGUUUCUUAUAAUGCUGAAUAAAUAGGGAAGAGACUAGUUUGAUACUGGCUGAAAGUCCAUAACCUAAGAAUUGGUACUU
rnacentral:misc_RNA from 1 species